AGUGAACGCUGGCGGUAGGCCUAACACAUGCAAGUCGAACGGCAGCACAGUAAGAGCUUGCUCUUACGGGUGGCGAGUGGCGGACGGGUGAGGAAUACAUCGGAAUCUACUUUUUCGUGGGGGAUAACGUAGGGAAACUUACGCUAAUACCGCAUACGACCUACGGGUGAAAGCAGGGGAUCUUCGGACCUUGCGCGAUUGAAUGAGCCGAUGUUGGAUUAGCUAGUUGGCGGGGUAAAGGCCCACCAAGGCGACGAUCCGUAGCUGGUCUGAGAGGAUGAUCGCCCACAUUGGAGCUGAGACACGGUCCAGACUCCUACGGGAGGCAGCAGUGGGGAAUAUUAGGCAAUGGGCGCAAGCCUGAUCCAGCCAUACCGCGUGGGUGAAGAAGGCCUUCGGGUUGUAAAGCCCUUUUGUUGGGAAAGAAAAGCAGCAGGUUAAUACCCCGCUGUUCUGACGGUACCCAAAGAAUAAGCACCGGCUAACUUCGUG
rnacentral:rRNA from 1 species